rnacentral:antisense_RNA from 1 species
UAAAAGUAACUUUAAACACACUGCCCCAAAGCUGUUUUUAGCCACAGCGUUUUUCAAGCGUAUUUUUAUUUUUGAACUUUCAGAAAUUACCAUCUAAAACAAGAGUUUAGAUGGUAGGCACGAGUGAAUUCGAAUCACCGACCCCCACCA